rnacentral:miRNA from 1 species
AGGGUUGGGUGGAGGCUUUCC